rnacentral:rRNA from 1 species
UAGGGAAUCUUCGGCAAUGGACGAAAGUCUGACCGAGCAACGCCGCGUGAGUGAAGAAGGUUUUCGGAUCGUAAAACUCUGUUGUUAGAGAAGAACAAGGACGUUAGUAACUGAACGUCCCCUGACGGUAUCUAACCAGAAAGCCACGGCUAACUACGUGCCAGCAGCCGCGGUAAUACGUUGGUGGCAAGCGUUGUCCGGAUUUAUUGGGCGUAAAGCGUGCGCUGGCGGUUUCUUAAGUCUGAUGUGAAAGCCCCCGGCUCAACCGGGGAGGGUCAUUGGAAACUGGGAGACUUGAGUGCAGAAGAGGAGAGUGGAAUUCCAUGUGUAGCGGUGAAAUGCGUAGAUAUAUGGAGGAACACCAGUGGCGAAGGCGGCUCUCUGGACUGUAACUGACGCUGAGGAUCGAAAGCGUGGGGAGCAAACAGG